ensembl:snRNA U6 U6 spliceosomal RNA
GUGCUUGCUUGGGCAGCACGUACACUAAGACUGGAAUGAUACAGAGAAGAUUAGCAUGGCCCCUGUGUAAGAAUGAUGUGCAACUUCAUGAAGUGUUCCAUAUUUUU